rnacentral:lncRNA from 1 species
UUGGUCUUCAUGAGAUAUUCUUCUGUCUUUCCAAUCAGUUCCUUUUGGGUCAAUUUCUGCCUCUUAUUAUCCUUGGACAGUGGGAUGUGGACCUGCAGAGAUGGGUGAAGAGGUGAGGAAGACAUGACAGGCAGUUUGAAAAAAGUCUAAAGUUGGGUGUAAAAACAGUGACAACCGAGAGCCUGAAGCUGCUGGGAUGAGUGCCCAACGCAGAAUCCUGUUCCCUGGCAGGCAUAUUUACACUGCGCUCCAGUGCUUGGGCCUGCUCCUUCCAAGAAGACAGGAUGCCAGGAUGGCCGGGACUCCGCUCGCUGGGACACCAUGGUCUUUGUGAGCAGCAGGCCUGAAGUGGUGAAAGCCAUCAUGAA